rnacentral:rRNA from 1 species
CUACGGGGCGCUGCAGUGGGGAAUAUUGCACAAUGGGCGCAAGCCUGAUGCAGCCAUGCCGCGUGUAUGAAGAAGGCCUUCGGGUUGUAAAGUACUUUCAGCGGGGAGGAAGGGAGUAAAGUUAAUACCUUUGCUCAUUGACGUUACCCGCAGAAGAAGCACCGGCUAACUCCGUGCCAGCAGCCGCGAUAAUACGGAGGGUGCAAGCGUUAAUCGGAAUUACUGGGCGUAAAGCGCACGCAGGCGGUUUGUUAAGUCAGAUGUGAAAUCCCCGGGCUCAACCUGGGAACUGCAUCUGAUACUGGCAAGCUUGAGUCUCGUAGAGGGGGGUAGAAUUCCAGGUGUAGCGGUGAAAUGCGUAGAGAUCUGGAGGAAUACCAGUGGCGAAGGCGGCCCCCUGGACGAAGACUAACGCUCAGGUGCGAAAGCGUGGGGAGCAAACAGGAUUAGAUACCCCCGUAGUC